ACUUCUCCCAAAGAAUAGAUCGGCUCCAAUAGGUAUUUAUCAAAAAGGAAAGUUAUGUUUAUCCAAAAAGCUUUUAUUCAUCAAGAACAAGGAAACUGGGUUGAAAAGGAAAGUGCCAAAAAUCACGGGUGAAAUUAGGAAACUGCCAAAAUCACUGGUUGACAGUAACCGAAGAUGAAUCAGAGGCGAUUUCUCCACCGGAAAAGAUGAAGCAUAACCGUUACUACGCGGAGCGGCAAAGAGUUAAAAACGAAUCUGAUGGUGAUGAUGUUCUGUUUAUGGCGACCGGCGGCGGCGUAUUAACUUGAUUUGAACAAAAAACGGAGGGGAAGUUCCCGGCAGGUUUGAGAUUUGAAAAAAAAAUGGCUGGACAAGAUCGAUGGGGACGAUUGUGAUUGAGAUAAUUGUAGUUGAUGAACAGAGUAUCGAAGGAUCAGAAACUCUGCUCUGAUACCAUGUUGUCUAGUGUAAAACAAACACAGUGAUUGGGUUGAAUUGUAUUGAGAUUGUAUUGUUCAAGAAAUUAGGGUUACAAGAGAGGUGUUUAUAUAGGACACCACUUUACACACAAGCCCCUAUACAAUCUAUUUUUCUCCUUUCCGACAGUAGUUUAGAUUGUUAAUGGGUCGAACAAUCGUCCAAGUUGUUUAUUUUCUGUUCAGUCCGUAGGCCAACAAACUCUUAUGUCGAUUGGGCCAAGAACUUUAAAAGUCCAUUAGGUUUGUUAGUUUGAUAGAUAGAGCGGUGCAUGUAUGCAUAAUUGCAUGGCAAUUAUUCUUGGAACUGUGCGAGUAUACAUCAUGUCCCCAAGAAACGCAAUGCUUCAUCAUCUUUAAAUAGGGUUUCGAUUUCCAGUCUUGUAAUCUAACUGUCGAAUAUACGAUUUCAUUAUAUUCGAAGUUAUCAAGUUUUGUAUUCA